UACGAAGGGGGCUAGCGUUGCUCGGAAUGACUGGGCGUAAAGGGCGCGUAGGCGGAUUGCUUUGUCGGGCGUGAAAUUCCAGGGCUUAACCUUGGGGCUGCGUUCGAGACGGGUGAUCUUGAGUGGGGAAGAGGGUCGUGGAAUUCCCAGUGUAGAGGUGAAAUUCGUAGAUAUUGGGGAAGAACACCGGUGGCGAAGGCGGCGACCUGGUCCUUUACUGACGCUGAGGCGCGAAAGCGUGGGGAGCAAACAGG
rnacentral:rRNA from 1 species